rnacentral:tRNA from 1 species
GCGGAAAUAGCUCAGUGGUAGAGCACCACCUUGCCAAGGUGGGGGUCGCGGGUUCGAACCCCUUUCCGCU